UUAAUAGAAAUAAAUGUCCAUUAAGAAACAAACAAUUGGAAGAGUGUCUUGCCUUCCGUUCGAGAUAUAUCGAACUCCAGAAGGCGGAAAGGAAUACGAUAUGGUCCACGUUAAUAGAAUUAAAUGUACAUUAAGAAACAAACAAUUGGAAGAGUGUCUUGCCUUCCGUUCGAGAUAUAUCGAACUCCUGAAGGCGGAAAGGAAUACGAUAAGGAUCUCAUUAAUAGAAAUAAAUGUCCAUUAAGAAACAAGCAAUUAGAAGAUUGUCCUGCCGUCCCUUCGAGAUAUAUCGAACUCCAGAAGGGGGUAAGAAAUACGAUAAAGUCCACGUUAAUAGAAUUGAAUGCACAUUAAGAAACAAGCAAUUAGAAGAGUGUCCUGCCAUCCGUUCGAGAUAUAUCGAACUCCAGAAGGCGGGAAGAAGUACGAUAAGGUCCACGUUAAUAAAAUUACAUGUACAUUAAGAAACAAGCAAUUGGAAGAGUGUCUUGCCUUCCGUUCGAGAUAUAUCGAACUCCAGAAGGCGGAAAGGAAUACGAUAAGGAUCUCAUUAAUAGAAAUAAAUGUCCAUUAAGAAACAAGCAAUUAGAAGAGUGCCCUGCAUUCCCUUCGAGAUAUAUCGAACUCCAGAAGGCGGAAAGGAAUACGAUAAGGAUCUCAUUAAUAGAAAUAAAUGAUCAUUAAGAAACAAACAAUUGGAAGAGUGUCUUGCCUUCCGUUCGAGAUAUAUCGAACUCCAGAAGGCGGAAAGGAAUACGAUAAGGUCCACGUUAAUAGAAUUGAAUGUACAUUAAGAAACAAGCAAUUAGAAGAGUGUCUUGCCUACCGUUCGAGAUAUAUCGAACUCCAGAAGGCGGAAAGGAAUACGAUAAGGAUCUCAUUAAUAGAAAUAAAUGUCCAUUAAGAAACAAGCAAUUGGAAGAGUGUCUUGCCUUCCGUUCGAGAUAUAUCGAACUCCAGAAGGCGGAAAGGAAUACGAUAAGGUCCACGUUAAUAGAAUUAAUUGUACAUUAAGAAACAAGCAAUUAGAAGAGUGUCCUGCCUUCCCUUCGAGAUAUAUCGAACUCCAGAAGGCGGAAAGGAAUACGAUAAGGUCCACGUUAAUAGAAUUGAAUGUACAUUAAGAAACAAGCAAUUAGAAGAGUGUCCUGCCUUCCCUUCGAGAUAUAUCGAACUCCAGAAGGCGGAAAGGAAUACGAUAAGGAUCUCAUUUUAUAGAAAUAAAUGUCCAUUAAGAAACAAACAAUUGGAAGAGUGUCUUGCCUUCCGUUCGAGAUAUAUCGAACUCCAGAAGGCGGAAAGGAAUACGAUAAGGUCCACGUUAAUAGAAUUAAUUGUACAUUAAGAAACAAGCAAUUAGAAGAGUGUCCUGCCUUCCCUUCGAGAUAUAUCGAACUCCAGAAGGCGGAAAGGAAUACGAUAAGGAUCUCAUUUUAUAGAAAUAAAUGUCCAUUAAGAAACAAACAAUUGGAAGAGUGUCUUGCCUUCCGUUCGAGAUAUAUCGAACUCCAGAAGGCGGUAAGGAAUACGAUAAGGUCCACGUUAAUAGAAUUGAAUGUACAUUAAGAAACAAGCAAUUAGAAGAGUGUCCUGCCUUCCCUUCGAGAUAUAUCGAACUCCAGAAGGCGGAAAGGAAUACGAUAAGGAUCUCAUUAAUAGAAAUAAAUGUCCAUUAAGAAACAAGCAAUUAGGAGAUUGUCCUGCCCUCCCUUCGAGAUAUAUCGAACUCCAGAAGGCGGAAAGGAAUACGAUAAAGUCCACAUUAAUAGAAUUAAUUGUACAUUAAGAAACAAGCAAUUAGAAGAGUGUCCUGCCUUCCCUUCGAGAUAUAUCGAACUCCAGAAGGCGGAAAGGAAUACGAUAAGGAUCUCAUUAAUAGAAAUAAAUGUCCAUUAAGAAACAAGCAAUUAGAAGAGUGUCCUGCCUUCCCUUCGAGAUAUAUCGAACUCCAGAAGGCGGAAAGGAAUACGAUAAGGUCCACGUAAAUAGAAAUAAACGUACAUUAAGAAACAUACAAUUGGAAGAGUGUCUUGCUUUCCGUUCGAGAUAUAUCGAACUCCAGAAGGCGGAAAAGAAUACGAUAUGGUCCACGUUAAUAGAAUUAAAUGUACAUUAAGAAACAAACAAUUGGAAGAGUGUCUUGCUUUCCGUUCGAGAUAUAUCGAACUCCAGAAGGCGGAAAAGAAUACGAUAUGGUCCACGUUAAUAGAAUUAAAUGUACAUUAAGAAACAAACAAUUGGAAGAGUGUCUUGCUUUCCGUUCGAGAUAUAUCGAACUCCAGAAGGCGGAAAAGAAUACGAUAUGGUCCACGUUAAUAGAAUUAAAUGUACAUUAAGAAACAAACAAUUGGAAGAGUGUCUUGCCGUCCGUUCGAGAUAUAUCGAACUCCAGAAUUCGGAAAGGAAUACGAUAAGGAUAUCAUUAUUAGAAAUAAAUGUCCAUUAAGAAACAAGCAAUUAGAAGAGUGUCCUGCCUUCCCUUCGAGAUAUAUCGAACUCCAGAAGGCGGAAAGGAAUACGAUAAGGAUCUCAUUAAUAGAAAUAAAUGUCCAUUAAGAAACAAGCAAUUAGAAGAGUGUCCUGCCAUCCGUUCGAGAUAUAUCGAACUCCAGAAGGCGGAAAGGAAUACGAUAA